rnacentral:snoRNA from 1 species
AGGUCAAGGCAUCAAUUAAUGACGUUCUUUGAGUUGAAAAUUGGCAAUAAAUAAUAGCGAUGCGCCAUGCUAUCAAAACUUUUUGUUUUGAUUGGUUUUGAACAAGUCGCGACGUU